rnacentral:rRNA from 1 species
GACGAACGCUGGCGGCGUGCUUAACGCAUGCAAGUGGAGCGACGAACCAGGGCUUGCCCUGGGGCAGAGCCGCGAACGGGUGAGUAACACGUGGGUUACCUACCCCGAUGACCGGGACAACCCGAGGAAACUCGGGCUAAUACCGGAUGUGGUCUUCGGACGAAAGGAGCUUCGGCCUCCGCAUCGGGGAUGGGGCCCCGCGGCGCAUUAGCUUGGUUGGUGGGGUAACGGCCUACCAAGGCGACGAUGCGUAGCUGGUCUGAGAGGACGAUCAGCCACACUGGGACUGAGACACGGCCCAGACUCCUACGGGAGGCAGCAGUGGGGAAUCUUGCGCAAUGCGCGAAAGCGUGACGCAGCAACGCCGCGU